GUGUGUGUGUGUGUGUGUGUGUGUGUGUGUGUGUGAGCGCGCGCGCGCACGCGCGCGAAUGCGAACGAGGCUGAGAGAGAGAGAACCUAGGCGCUGCAGGUGGAGUUCUAGGGGCUCUGGCAGCGCCGCUAGCUCCCAGCACCAUUCCUGGCCGCGGAGCGCUGGGCGGAGGUCCAGGUGGCGACUCCCAGAGCAGCCCAGCUCCCGUCUCGCCACCCCCACCCUGCCCCAGCUAGGGGAAGAAGAUCCCGGACAGCACUGUCGAGCCCUGCCAGAUCAGAAAAAUAAAUAAAAAUAGACGUAGUGCAGGAGCGAGUUACAAGAAAGGAUUUGGUCAUCGAUUUUCUUAAAUGGAAAAGUUCUAAAGGAGGCGGCUGCCCUUCCCCUCCCCUCUCCAUCUUACCCUAGGCGAUAUAAAAUCAAAGCCCUGGAAAACAACUAUGUACUCAGCUUCCAAGGAAAACUUUCCAAGACAACCACCCUUCAGUCACAGCUGAGUCCUCAAUGAUCCGUGAUGCUGUGGCACUCAAAAGUGUGAUGCUGAAGACAUCCUGGUUCCUUGAAAAGUUUCACCUGGGGAGGGACAAGCUCCUUAUCAGCACAGCUCAUCCCACGUACUGAGGACCAGGGAUCGAAUUCAGGACCCUGCACUUGCAAGGCAGACAUGGUGCCACUGAGCUAAAUCCAUGUCCCUAUCUGAAACUUCUAUAAAAUAAGUGUCAUUCUGAUGUCACAAAUGAGGAAAUUGGAUUUCAGAGAGUAUAAGAGAUUGCCUGAACUGAGAUAGCUGGUAUAGACCUGAAGAUACUUCCUGAUACACUCUGCCUGCAAAUCUCUGUCUCUAAACCUGUUCUCAGGGGACUGGAUUUACGACACAUGCUAUUCUUCAACUCAGAGUACUUUCCCUGUCCAUCCUUUUUUGAAGGUAUGAGGAGCUUGGCACCCUGGAGGAGUCCACAUGGGGAUUUGAGGUGAUAAGAGGAGCUCCUGGAUUUGCUCUCUUCUGUGAGCAUAAAUGUUAUCUGCAUUACCCUAGGAGUGAAGGUAAUGAAAAGGAGCCAAGUUCUGACGUAUCGUGAAGUACUAAGAAGAGAGAAAAAGAAAGAAGCCUAAAGACACCUAGGAACAACCUAAUAUCUAGAUCUUUGGAGGAAUAGGAAUUAUCACCAAAGGCAACUAAAUGUAGUGACCUAGCAAAUUGAAAGAAAAGAAGAGGUGUUUCCCUGGAGGUCAACAGAUAAAAAUAUUUGACAAGGAAAGG
ensembl:lncRNA